rnacentral:rRNA from 1 species
CCUACGGGGCGCAGCAGUGGGGGAUAUUGCACAAUGGGGGAAACCCUGAUGCAGCGACGCCGCGUGGGCGAAGAAGCGCCUCGGCGCGUAAAGCCCUGUCAGCAGGGAAGAAAAUGACGGUACCUGAAGAAGAAGCCCCGGCUAACUACGUGCCAGCAGCCGCGGCAAUACGUAGGGGGCAAGCGUUAUCCGGAUUUACUGGGUGUAAAGGGAGCGCAGACGGCGAGGCAAGCCAGGAGUGAAAGACCGGGGCCCAACCCCGGGGCUGCACUGGGAACUGCGAGGCUGGAGUGCAG